GCAGAGUCAGCUCUGACUUUGUCCUCCUGGGUCCGCAGCCUGGAGGCAGGAGGCCCUAGGAGGACAGUGCAGCCCCUCCCCACACCGCUCCCGGGGGAGAGAGCGAGGCCAGGCUGACCACUGCGGGCUCUGUGCUCACAGACCAUGGGUUCCAGAGAGCAGCCCUUCAGUCACCUGGGCUCACCUGCUGACGUAGCUGCCGUGAUCAUCAUCCACUUUUUAGACAAGGCUGAAGGUCGCACUGGUUCCACAACUUGCCCAAAGGCAUUCUCUCACAAGCAAAAGCCCUGAGGCGGGAGUAAAGAGCCAGAAGUGUGCAUUUGCUUAUCGUCUCUGCAUUGGUUCCACAGAGACCACCAGUCUCCACCCAGCAGAACCAAGCCGACUGGCUUGGAUGUGCCUGCUCUGCCCACCCCAGAGGGACGAGGCUGAGGGGCAGGACACCGGCUCCCUCACCCGCCUUCACAGAACAGAUAGAACCGUCUCUCAGCGAGGUGUCAAGGUUUCCGUGGAAACAAGA